UACCUUAUAGUUUUGCCACUUCCUAAUAGCCUUCUCCUUUAUUCCUAUGCUUUUUUUCCAAUAUGCAUCUUUUACAAAAAACUGUUGAAGAGCUUUGCUUUUGUAUACAGAAGAGUACAUUUUGAUGGCAACAACAAAACAAAGUUGAAAUUUAUUAGUGGAAACAAUGUAAGCACAAAUAGCUGCAUAAAAAUACCAUUUUUUACAGUUGAUAUUUCAUGAUUCUCUAGCUGAAGAGACACAACUUGUAGGAAACAACAGCUUCAUUUUCCCCCUUGCUAAAAAAGAAGCUGGUGUCAAUGUAAGGAUCAUGGGACUAUUUUCAACAUUGUUGUACUCUAUCAACUCCGCUGAGCUGUUACUGAGCCAGUCCAAGCAGCAUCACCUGGAGGAUUUUGUGGAGGAAAUGGGCUAAAGGAGGCUCUGGCAUUUGUUGGCUGUGGAUGGACCUCUGCACAGGAGUAUGGAGGUAUUAAUGGGCCAGGAAUAUACUGUAUUUCAGAAAGUGACCUCAAAGGGCUUAGCAUUGCUCGGGUUGGAAAAGGCUUUAAAGAUCAUCUAGUCCAACCACAACCUAACCAAACUGCCCCAGCUUUUAACAACCCUCCACUAAAUCAUGUCCCUGGCUUGGGGAUGGGGAAGUUCCUUCAUUACUCCACAGCAAUGAGAAUGUCUCAGUUGUUUUCUUUCAAUUCCUCUUUUCCAACCCACUCAGCCUGAGCAGGCCCUACUCAGGCUAAAUCUGGUGCAAAUGGAUUCAAUGCCAGGAAUUGGCAUCCUCAGCUCUGAUUAAGGUAGAAUCUGUCAGUUCUAAAAGGGUGUGCAGAAGUCUACUUGCCCCCAGGAAUAGAGGUGAAGGGGCAGGGGAGAGCAGGAAGAUUUAUGUUGUCAGUUCUCAUGUUUUACAUGAUCUGGAUUCCAGAGAUGACACCUUACAAUGACUUGGCCCUUUGCCAUUAUGUCUCUACAUUCCCCCUCUCCUAUCAUGCCGUGUGUAGCAGAUACCCUUCAUAUAUACAGGUGAAGACCAAAGAGUACCAAAAUGGCUUUGCAAGUAGUUUUCAAAUAACUGUGGAAAUCAGACCAUAGGUCAGAACCAUCCUGCCCAAAGUUGUUGCUCAGCCCAAGGAGGAAAGUUCCACAUUCUUCUUGUUCCUGAUGACUACUUGAUUCUGCAAACAAAUGUAAGUACUUUUCCCUUAAUGAAUGCAUUGCAAAAUGGAAUCAUUAUUUUUUCCCUAAAUGCAUCAACCACAGAAAUUUCAGUAAAUUGUGUCUGCUCUUUCUACAACACUGAAUCAAAAUGUCAAACCACCACAACUCAAUUAUAGGAGAGGAAAUAAAGCAACAGGCUGAAUACCAGUCAGUUAUUUACAAAAUACUUCAAAUUGCUACUGCCGUAACUACCUGUGGGAAAUGAGAAUAGACAAGAGCAUAGAUUUGGAUGUGGGUAAACUGACUCAGAGCAACUUGUUUGCAAAGUUAUAGAAUUCAAAUUUUCACUCCUCCUGGGCUUUAUAGAUCAGUUGCUUCCUUUGGUCUGUUGCUGUUCUUACUAGAAAGUAUUUUAGUUGAGAAGUGAGGGGAGAGAAAGAAAAUCAGAACUCACAUACUCAGUUUUUAAAACAGGUAGAGGAACUUGUUGUUUUUUGUUUCAAUGUCCUUUUUUCUGUACAUUUCCAUUCUUUAAAAAAAAAAAAAUCAGUCAUCCCCAAACCCACAGUGGAGACAGUAUUGCAGGUGAAGCAUUUUUCUUUGCGGUUUUUGAGAAGAUAUAAAUGCCUUGUUUUACUGAUGCUGAGAGAUAAGGUGCAGUAACUUUAAUGUUGCAUGAGGUCAGAUCUCAUUGUUUCAUAGUGAAUGAAAAGCCAAGUAUUUCCAGUAAGGUAAAUAAAUUUAUGAGGGAUGCAGCAAACUCAGAAUCUCUACAAAGCUACUGGGAGAGACAGCCUGUGAGUGACAUGCAAGUGUUUUCCCUCAAGUUCUGAUGGGUUUUGGAGUUUCAAGUCUUGGACCUGACUCUUCACUUCACGGCUGAUGGGUGGCAGUUGUUUUGAAGGUCCCUCCAGUACAUCAUAGCUGUAGAGCUUGCUCCACUCGAGGAAAAUAAUGUUCCUUGGAGGUUGUCUGCUGGUACUGAUUCAUAUUUAUCAGCUUGGCAACAGUAAAUGAGAUGAGGAACUGAAGAGUUCUUGGUAGUAGUAGCAUUUCAGUAAAGUAAUUUUCUAAUUUACUCAGAAGAUUACAGUAUCUUAAAAACAAAACAACAAAAGUGGUGGUACUGAGCAGUCACUUUGUAGCGUUAAUCACGAGAUGUGUGGAAUAACGCUUUUGCUCACCAAGUAAUUGCUAGCUAUGAGCCAGUUAAAACAAACAAACAAAAAAGUCAUAGAACAUUACAUUCUGUGUAUCUGCAUACAUAUCUUCUCUGGAAUAGCAUGAGGAAGCAUAAAAUAUUCCAGGACAGAGAAUAAUUUUUGUGCUAGUUAGGAGUUUAAGUUUAUGCUAUCUAAAAUAUAUCUCCUAUUGUAACAAUAUUUUUGCUUUAAACAUUUGUUGCCGCUCUCUGGUAUCUCUUGAUGGUGUUCGUCCUCUGUCUGCUAAGGACACUGCAACUCAGCGAAACUGACCCUGACCAGGUCGGGGCCAAAUGCUCACACGGACCCCAGAAGCAAGCGAGGCAAAAUGACGUUUAUUGCUACGUGCUGCGUGUUUAAGUACAGAUACCUCCGCCAAUCAUAAAGCGAUACUUGGCAUUCACAUAUGGCAUAGGGAGCCUGUACGCGUCACAUCCCGUUUUCCUUGCCACGCCUACUACAUCUCCCCCUCCCUAUGCCGACAUCUCCCAUCACCUCACACGCGGAGCUUACAGCUGAUCCCUAAUCCUAUGAUAUUUUAUGCGUUCAUCCAUAAACUGAUACAUUGUCCUCGACAAGACAAUCCUGGAAGCACCUGAUUAUACAUGGAAUGAUAGCUGCUAUAAAGAUAAUGACAAGCAAUGCGAACGCUAGCGUCUUGACACCCUGCGCGAGCCACUCUCCGAUAUUGCCGAAUGUGCGUUUAAACCAAUCCCCUAUGGGAUCGUCGUUCAUCUGAAUCUUCUCCGUAUGUUCCUUCAUAGCUUGAAGCGCUUUGUGAAUGGACACACUAUGAUCGCUAAGAUUGAAGCAACACAUCCCCUCUACGUCUUCACACCCGUGUCCUUGUGCUAGGAGUAAGAAAUUGAUGGCCGCUCGAUUUUGCAACACCGCGUGCCGGACGCUGUUCGUGUCCUCCAACAUCGCAUUCAAUAUUAAUGUUAAAUUCGCUUGCCUAACCGACCAACAUGCUAAGCGCUCAAUCUCCUUCAAGGCCUGCGCCGCAGCUACACCUGGAGCAAAGAAAGAAGCAAAUAUCCGGGCUGUCGCACUCCAUAGCUGUACCUCGUCAUUGCAGUCAGGCGGGAGCAAACUCGACAAGCACCUGCUGCGGCGGUGCCCCGUAAUGUUCGGCCCAUACAUCAUCCAGGUGGUAAAGUUAGGAGAAAGCACAGUCAACUGUCCUAGAUAACAGGGCCCUCCCAAGGCAUUGCGCGGGAUACCCUGCCAAGCUCUGUCCCCGCAAAUCAAGAAAAUACCCGGGGGGAGUGCUUUAGCCGACGUGUUGUUCCACAGAGAUUCACCGGAAAGCCCGAACCCCUGGAAGUAGUCCGAAUGACAAACGCCGGAGUGUUCCAUCUACUAAGCGAAGGUUCAAUAUGACCCAUGCGAAGCUCCUGGGUUACUAAGGUUUGCAAAGCAUUAAGUUUCUCUGCUGAUAAGGGCCACUGGUCCACCCACACAGGACGGGUGUCCGGUUUCCAGCGCAAAGGAAUAGCAUAUCGUGCUGACAAUUGGCAGACCGUGGCCCCCACUAUAAAUUUGUAAUGCGAGCGCUUAUCAGUCGCAAGAAGUCUCGCCCCAGAAGAGUUCCGGGGACACGCGCUACUAACGGUGUAAGCAAUGCUGGUUUCUCCAAGGAGCCAUCCCUAUUAAUAACAACCACUUGUACCUCAUUAAGAGACCGCUGUGAGGGGGUCGCCCCUCCAACCCCCAUAAUAGACUGCGAGGCCCCCGUAGGCCACGAAGGUGGCCACUCCGUUUCCGCGACCACAGUAACGUCGGCGCCGGAAUCUAUGAGGGCGGUGACAAAGAUAGAUCGAGGGCCUUGGAACUCUGGCGGGAGGUUGGUGCAAGAAAUAGUGGCCUUCACCAGAGGGCGCUCUUGAGUACUUAAGGACAGCGCCGCCAUGGGUAAGCUCAAGUCAGGGACCCGCACCAAUCGAGAAAUGGAGUUGCCGUGCGUAGGCGGUCUCCUGUCAUUAUCUCCCCGGCGUGUAGGCCUACGGGCCCUACAUUGUGGUGCCGUAUGACCCUUGCGCCCGCACUGCUGACAUGUCACCCCUCCGCCCCUGCCCAUCCUGCAUUGGGCCCUAAUAUGGCCCAACUGGCCACAUUUAAAGCAAGGUCCUAACUGUCGGUCCUUGUCACGCUGGUCCAUCUGCCUACAGGCCAUCAUCACUCCCGCUACAGCCGCGGCCACUUCCCCUGCCACGGACGGACCGGCCUUUUGCUUAUCCAAGACAUAUUUGAUGGCCUCACCGGGGGUUUGGAACCUUCCUGGCGCUGUUCUCAAAAUCCCCUGCACCCCUUCACUGGACUUCUGAUACAAGCAAUCCAGGAUGACGGGACCGUGAACCACCCUGGGCAGAUCCGAGCCUUCCACUGCCUUAAUUAACCUGUCUGCAAACUCCUGAAAUGGCUCUGUGGGGCCUUGCGCGAUCUCUGUCCAUGGAGUAGUGGGCUCAGCACUUCUUGCAAGCUUUCGGAACGCGUCUAUUGCAGCGUCCGUAGUCGCUAUCAGCUCCCCUGGUCUAAGUUGUCCAACUUGUGCUUGAAGGGUCAGCAGACCUGGGGCACUGCCCAUUAAUCUCUGUAUAUUGGACCCGUGUAUAGGGUUUCCUUGAUCACCCUGCGCCGUAAUCAGCAUUUGCUUAAUUCAGGUAUGCCACUCCUCUUUCCAGAGCAUAUACUGCACCGGUUUCAACACCAUGCGCAUUAAGUUCUCAAUAUCGUAAGGCAGCAUUGGGCCCGGUGCUAUGAGGGUCUCAAGGGCAUUCAUCGUCAACGGUGAUUUCAGCCCUUUCUUUUCUACUGCCUCAAUCAUCCUUGCUACCCCCUUUGGGUCCAGCGGGACCCAGAUUGGGCCUCCCUCCUCUGAGACAACAACUGGAAGUCUGUAAGUUGCCGCCAGGCCUUUCUCUGCCACUUCCUCUUUAAUCCGGCCCCAAUCAGUAAGCUUAGGUUUCCCUUCCUCUUUUCCUUUUGAGGACGGUCCCGCCCCCUCCUGCGAUGUCUUUACCAAAGAAGGAUAUAACGGCUGCCUAGGGGAGGGUGGGGGCGGUGACAGUGCAGUGGAAUUGGGAGGGGCCGUCGGCGCCGUCGGACAGCCCCAGAGCUUCUGCGACUCUUCUUCCUCCUUUUCGCGAUCUUCCUCCUUUACCGUCGCCAUUUUAUUCGCUGCCGUCUGAGUGCCGGACCUGCAAGACUCCAAAGACCCGCUUCCCGAAGCCCGCUCCCCACUCACGACCACCCCAAGUUUGUCCUCUUCCCUGGCCGCUUUAAGGGCUCCUGAUAUCAAUCCCCGUGUUUUGAGUUCCGUAGCUUUCUGACUAGCCAUGGCGCGUGGGCAUAGCGCCGAGGGAUGCAUCAAGAUCUGGACCAGAAUGUCUACAAUCUUGUGCUGGAUGCUAUGUGGUUCCACUGCUUUCUCCAGGCCUUCCUACCUGCUACAAGAGCGGGCAGAGGAUCAUAUGCUGUUAAUAACAAACAUUUGUGCUGAGGUGGCUAUUGCAUCUUUACAGAAUAACAUCCCACAAAUAUUACCAGAAUGACAUUCAAAGGCUGCUGAAAGCAGAGCAAAGAGCCUCAUACCUAAGGUACGCAACUUCUUACAUAUACUGCCAUCUGUCGUUCCUGCAUGCCAGUUUUAUCGCUCUGCCUGUGUGGUUUUUAUCUGUGUUUUAUCAAGGAAUCUGUUUUGCAAGAAAUCUGUUGCAAGUACAGUUGAGUUUGAAGAACUUCCGUAAUUCAUACAUGCUCUGUCUGAAAUAGUACAUAUUGAGAUUCCUUAGCCAUUUAUUCUGCUGUGUAUACCUUCAGUUCUGGCUGUGACCAAAUUUGUCUUCGUUUCGCUCAAUUUAUUUUAAUAGCAAGCUUGUCUCUCUAUUCAAACCAUAGCCAGAGCUUCCAUGUUCUGAAUCAGUUGUAUCUUUGUAGCAAAAUGUACACAGGUGUAUCAUAAGCUUGGCAUGCAUGUAUACAACUAAAAUCAUAAAACUGUAUUUCCAUAUCCUGCUCUACAUAUUUAGACUGUUUUAGAAUGUGUAUGCUUAGUUAUGGUAACAAACAUGGUACAUAUUUGUAAAUAUGUAAGCUAUAUGAUUUUUAAUGUUUAAUUGGAGUCCAGCACAUAAUCAGUGGACACCUUGCUUCCUAAAUCUAUCAAAAAAAUAUUGAGAGCGCCUUUCAAAAGCUGGCUGGAAACGAAAAACAAUUGGUGUGUAAUUGAGCAAGGAGUGAUCACCGUGCACUGGAACAGUGAUCCUAAAGCAGCCAGGUAGACAUGGAAGUCAGACACACAGUGACAAACCAGCGGGCAAGGCUCUGAAAACAACAUUCUGGUUUUUGAAAUGUUUGUGUGCUUUCUCCAAG
ensembl:lncRNA